rnacentral:rRNA from 1 species
AGAGUUUGAUCAUGGCUCAGAUUGAACGCUGGCGGCAUGCCUAACACAUGCAAGUCGAACGGCAGCAUGAAUAGAGCUUGCUCUAUUUGAUGGCGAGUGGCGGACGGGUGAGUAAUAUGUAGGAAUCUACCUAGAGGAGGGGGAUAACUUGGGGAAACUCAAGCUAAUACCACAUAAGCCCUAAGGGGGAAAGCAGGGGAUCGCAAGACCUUGCGCCUUAUGAUGAGCCUACAUCGGAUUAGCUUGUUGGUGGGGUAAAGGCCUACCAAGGCGACGAUCCGUAGCUGGUCUGAGAGGAUGACCAGCCACACUGGGACUGAGACACGGCCCAGACUCCUACGGGAGGCAGCAGUGGGGAAUAUUGGACAAUGGGCGAAAGCCUGAUCCAGCAAUGCCGCGUGUGUGAAGAAGGCCUUAGGGUUGUAAAGCACUUUCAGUGGGGAGGAAGGUUAUGAUGCUAAUACCAUUGUAAUUUGACGUUACCCACAGAAGAAGCACCGGCUAACUCUGUGCCAGCAGCCGCGGUAAUACAGAGGGUGCGAGCGUUAAUCGGAAUUACUGGGCGUAAAGGGUGUGUAGGUGGUUAGGUAAGUUAGAUGUGAAAUCCCCGGGCUUAACCUGGGAACUGCGUUUAAAACUGCUUAACUAGAGUAAUGUAGAGGGUAGUGGAAUUUCCAGUGUAGCGGUGAAAUGCGUAGAUAUUGGAAGGAACACCAGUGGCGAAGGCGACUACCUGGACAGAUACUGACACUGAGACACGAAAGCGUGGGGAGCAAACAGGAUUAGAUACCCUAGUAGUCC